GUUGAACGCUGGCGGCGUGCCUUACACAUGCAAGUCGAACGGACAGGCGAGGUUCUUUCUCGUCUCACGUUACCGACGGACGGGUAAUUCACCCGUACGUAACCUGUCUAUGGGGCUGACUUAACUUCAGGUUACCUGAUCCCACACCCGAUCAUAUGUUGAACCUCAUGGUUCACUAGUCAUCGCCCGUCAUGCUCUCCCUUUUUCAUAUUUCCUCGCUGCAUUAGCUAGUUGGUACGGUAACGGCUUACCAAGGCAACGAUGAGUAGCCGAUCUGAGAGGAUGAUCGGCCACACUGGAACUGAGACACGGCCCAGACUCCUACGGGAGGCAGCAGUAGGGAAUCUUGGGCAAUGGGCGAAAGCCUGACGGAGCAACGCCGCGUGAGUGAUGAAGGUCUUCGGAUCGUAAAACACUGUUAUCAGGGAAGAAAAAAUGUGGAAGAAAAUAUGCACGGCAUGACGGUACCGGAACAGAAAGCAACGGCUAACUACGUG
rnacentral:rRNA from 1 species